UGAAGUGAUCAUUUCAGCACUAAUGCAUCAGAUUCCAUUGAAACUUCGAAGUUAAGCGCUUGAGAGAUAGUAGUUCUAAGAUGGGCUUGCCUUAUGACUUUCA
rnacentral:rRNA from 1 species